rnacentral:rRNA from 2 species
UCGACCUCAGAUCAGGCGAGAUUACCCCCUGAUUUUAUAGACAUAUAAGUCGACCUCAGAUCAGACGAGACUACCCCCUGAAUUUAAGCAUAAAA